rnacentral:rRNA from 1 species
AUUGAACGCUGGCGGCAGGCCUAACACAUGCAAGUCGAGCGGUAGAGAGAAGCUUGCUUCUNUUGAGAGCGGCGGACGGGUGAGUAAUGCCUAGGAAUCUGCCUGGUAGUGGGGGAUAACGCUCGGAAACGGACGCUAAUACCGCAUACGUCCUACGGGAGAAAGCAGGGGACCUUCGGGCCUUGCGCUAUCAGAUGAGCCUAGGUCGGAUUAGCUAGUUGGUGAGGUAAUGGCUCACCAAGGCGACGAUCCGUAACUGGUCUGAGAGGAUGAUCAGUCACACUGGAACUGAGACACGGUCCAGACUCCUACGGGAGGCAGCAGUGGGGAAUAUUGGACAAUGGGCGAAAGCCUGAUCCAGCCAUGCCGCGUGUGUGAAGAAGGUCUUCGGAUUGUAAAGCACUUUAAGUUGGGAGGAAGGGCAGUUACCUAAUACGUAUCUGUUUUGACGUUACCGACAGAAUAAGCACCGGC